GAAGUCCCUGAAAAUUCUGGGUUCUUUCAUCCUCAGAACUGACGCAAAAACUGCAGACAUUUCUCCUGCUGAAAUAAAACUUGGACAUGAACGUGGAAUACCAUGUUUCUUUAUGGUACUCCUUAAGAAGACAAACAGGGACUUCACGCUCACACUGGGAGAUAAAGAGGAGGACCUAUGGUCCUGUACAAUUUCAAGAGAUGAAUAUCAAAACUAAAACAGAGGAGAUAGGCAUGAUCAG